CCUACGGGCGGCAGCAGUGGGGAAUAUUGGACAAUGGGGGGAACCCUGAUCCAGCCAUGCCGCGUGUGUGAAGAAGGCCCUCGGGUUGUAAAGCACUUUCAGUGAGGAAGAACGCCUGGUGGUUAAUACCCAUCAGGAAAGACAUCACUCACAGAAGAAGCACCGGCUAACUCCGUGCCAGCAGCCGCGGUAAUACGGAGGGUGCGAGCGUUAAUCGGAAUUACUGGGCGUAAAGCGCGCGUAGGUGGCUUGAUAAGCCGGUUGCGAAAGCCCCGGGCUCAACCUGGGAACGGCAUCCGGAACUGUCAAGCUAGAGUGCAGGAGAGGAAGGUAGAAUUCCCGGUGUAGCGGUGAAAUGCGUAGAGAUCGGGAGGAAUACCAGUGGCGAAGGCGGCCUUCUGGACUGACACUGACACUGAGGUGCGAAAGCGUGGGUAGCAAACAGGAUUAGAUACCCUGGUAGUC
rnacentral:rRNA from 1 species